rnacentral:rRNA from 1 species
AGAGUUUGAUCAUGGCUCAGAUUGAACGCUGGCGGCAGGCCUAACACAUGCAAGUCGAGCGGAUGAGUGGAGCUUGCUCCAUGAUUCAGCGGCGGACGGGUGAGUAAUGCCUAGGAAUCUGCCUGGUAGUGGGGGACAACGUUUCGAAAGGAACGCUAAUACCGCAUACGUCCUACGGGAGAAAGUGGGGGAUCUUCGGACCUCACGCUAUCAGAUGAGCCUAGGUCGGAUUAGCUAGUUGGUGAGGUAAAGGCUCACCAAGGCGACGAUCCGUAACUGGUCUGAGAGGAUGAUCAGUCACACUGGAACUGAGACACGGUCCAGACUCCUACGGGAGGCAGCAGUGGGGAAUAUUGGACAAUGGGCGAAAGCCUGAUCCAGCCAUGCCGCGUGUGUGAAGAAGGUCUUCGGAUUGUAAAGCACUUUAAGUUGGGAGGAAGGGCAGUAAGUUAAUACCUUGCUGUUUUGACGUUACCAACAGAAUAAGCACCGGCUAACUUCGUGCCAGCAGCCGCGGUAAUACGAAGGGUGCAAGCGUUAAUCGGAAUUACUGGGCGUAAAGCGCGCGUAGGUGGUUCGUUAAGUUGGAUGUGAAAGCCCCGGGCUCAACCUGGGAACUGCAUCCAAAACUGGCGAGCUAGAGUAUGGCAGAGGGUGGUGGAAUUUCCUGUGUAGCGGUGAAAUGCGUAGAUAUAGGAAGGAACACCAGUGGCGAAGGCGACCACCUGGGCUAAUACUGACACUGAGGUGCGAAAGCGUGGUGAGCAAACAGGAUUAGAUACCCUGGUAGUCCAA